GAGAGGGGAGGGGAGUGAGGGAGUAAAGUGAGACUGGGAGAUAUGGGGUAAUAGCAAGGGCAGUGAAAGACAGCAAGAGGGUUUGACCGGGGGGCUGAACUGCAAGCUGAGCUCAGAGUCGCUGUGUUUGUGCUUCUUGAUACAGUCCUAUUGGGAUUUCUGAGGAGUGUUCACUAUAGACAGGAGGUCCUGUUUAAAUACAGUGGCGCUGUAGACGUAGAAUCUGUGCUGAGAGGGGAGAGGGAAGAAUCGGUCUGGAUACGAAUGAACCGAGAAGCACAAACACCGAGCUGUACCAUCGAUACCAUUCUUCACAUCAUUGCAAUUUUUGAACAAUCUGCAGCGUUCUGCUAAAAUGAGCUUCACACAACAGCAGCGACUCGUGACUCUCUGGAACUCGCCGCCUGUCUGCCUGUCUGUCUGUGUCUGUCUGUCUGUCUGUUUCUUUGUCAGUUGAUUUUUAAAGUCGGUUUGAAAUGAAAGCAGCUGUGCGAUCGCCACAGUUACGACGGCCUCUAAAAACAUCAGCUCCCACUGGAGAAUUCAUUUUGAAAAAGGAGUUGGAUUCUUAAAGCAGGAAGCGACCCGCCACCUGCGACCCUGCGCACACCCCGAUAAAGACCCCUACGUACCUCCUGAACACGCAACGCCAUCAGAAACAAGACCGACGCGUUGCGGGAUUCGCGAGGAAGGACUGUUACAAACGGACACGCGUGUCUGUGUGUGUUUAUAUACAGAGCACUUUCUGUCUUGGUUUGCAGUCUGAUACAGCGUGUAUUCCAGCACUCGGAACGGCUGUGCUGUUUUAUUAUUGGUAUUAUUAGUAGUGGUAUUGCUUGCAGUGUUAAGUCAUUGUAUCUGAAUGAGUUGUUGAAAGUCCUGCAUGGUCCUCCUCCUGUGAUGUGUCUUGGCUGUGAAAUUGCACUGGUUUAUUUAUUUAUUUAUUGAUUGAUUGAUUGAUUGAUUGAUUUUCCUGUAGUUUUUUUUCAGCUCCUUUCUCCCUCCAUACCUAAAUAAACACCAAUCCUGUUUUUAUUUGUA